AUACGUAGGUGGCAAGCGUUGUCCGGAAUUAUUGGGCGUAAAGCGCAUGUAGGCGGUGCCUUAAGUCUGUCGUGAAAUUGAGGGGCUUACCCCCGUAUGGCGAUGGAAACUGUGGCACUUGAGUGCAGGAGAGGAAAGGGGAACUCCCAGUGUAGCGGUGAAAUGCGUAGAUAUUGGGAAGAACACCGGUGGCGCAGGCGGCUUUCUGGACUGUGUCUGACGCUGAGAUGCGAAAGCCAGGGUAGCGAACGGGAUUAGAUACCCCGGUAGUCCUGGCCGUAAACGAUGGGUACUAGGUGUGGGAGGUAUCGACCCCUUCCGUGCCGGAGUUAACGCAAUAAGUACCCCGCCUGGGGAGUACGGCCGCAAGGCUUAAACUCAAAGGAAUUGACGGGG
rnacentral:rRNA from 1 species